UUUCCGUAGGUGAACCUGCGGAAGGAUCAUUAUUGUAUAAUCGAGGCGCGAGGGCUGCCGCUGACCUGACAGCCUGUGCACGCUCGAGUGCCUUCACACAUACCUACCUCACCCCUCUUUGCUCCACUGCGUCGGCACUCCUACGGCCUGUUCGGUGGGGGACUUACGUUUUCACACAAUCUCAGUAUGCUGUGUAGAAUGUAUUACUUCUUUUCUCUAUGUCGCAACCUAUACAACUUUCAACAACGGACCUCUGGGCACUCGUAUCGACGAAGAACC
rnacentral:misc_RNA from 1 species